GACGUUACCUACAGAAGAAGCACCGGCUAACUCCGUGCCAGCAGCCGCGGUAAUACGGAGGGUGCGAGCGUUAAUCGGAAUUACUGGGCGUAAAGCGCAUGCAGGCGGCCUCGUUAAGUCAGAUGUGAAAGACCCGGGGCGUUAACCUCGGAAAUUGCAUUUGAAACUAGGCAGGCUAGAGUCUUGUAGAGGGGGGUAGGAAUUUCAGGUGUAGCGGUGAAAUAGCGUAGAGAUCUGAAGGAAUAUCAGUGGCGAAGGCGGCCCCCUCGGACAAAGACUGACGCUCAGAUGCGAAAGCGUGGGGAGCAAACAGGAUUAGAUACCCUGGUAG
rnacentral:rRNA from 1 species